CGGCUUUUCACCCAGAGGUUGCAUCCUGGCAGCCUUGCAGGUCACAUUCCUUCUGCAGACAUGUUUAGUUGGAUCCACUAGAAUUUCCAAACAUUCUGAGUCAUUAUUUAAAAAAAACCUAGACUUGAGUUUCUAGAUUCUGUUCCAAAACUCGGAAUAUCAGACCUGCACCUGCACCCCACGUGGUGCUCGCUGUGGGAAGCCCCUAGCAGCCUGGGAGAAGGAUCUACACAUCUGCAGAUAGCAUCAGACAGGAAAUGGGUGUGAGCACCAGUAGGCACAAUGCCUGCCCUCCCCACCUUUACCUCCAUAACCAGAACCAUGGAAUCUUUAUGUCUAAUAUCUACUUAUGAAGCCAUUUUCUCUGUUGCACCCGGAGAGCUGAGGUCUACAUGCAAGGGAGAAGAAGCAUGGUCCUCAGGCAGUGGAUCUGCUAGUGCUCUGGGCAUCCAGAAUGUGGGAGCAGCUACAGAGAGCCCAUCAGAGGACCCUGGAAGGUUCAGGGACUUAUGCACAACCUCUGACCAAAUGCAAGCUAAACAAAAUUGCUCUGUCCCAGAGUAAACCUAGGGCAACUCAAGGAAGCCAGGUGCAAAGAGUCACUCUUGGUUGCCUGGGAACACCUUUUCAUGAAGGACAACCAGGAGCUGUUAAUCCUGGCAGAAGACAGGGAAUGACCACAAACUCACACACCACGUAGGCAGGAUCUAGGCUAUACUCAAGGGCCCUGUGUUAAAUAGAAAAUGGAAUUGGCUGAGAGUGUAUGCUAUUUGGAGCUGGCAGUAGUCCUGCAAUCCUAGCUACUCAGUGGGC
rnacentral:lncRNA from 1 species